GGCUCGUCAACGCCCGCGCCGCCGCCCUGACCGGCUCCUCGACGUCCGCGUGGCCCUAGGGGUCCGCCACUGCCCUCAGCUAAUGCACGUAUUGGUGGCAAAUUUGGAGGUUCAAAGAGUGGUUACAGUGUCCCUGGAGCGCUUCACAUAUAUAUAUGGUGUUGGUUUAUCAGUUGUUAAUGCUUUAUCAGAGGACACAUGGAAGACUAAAGUUGCAUAUCUACUGAUGGAGGGUAAUCCAAACUUCAGCAGUAGAAAAUAUUUUACUUGAUAGAAAAGAGUACAGGAAAAACCCAUGUAGUGUACUUAACUUUGUAAUCCCAACUUAGUAUGUUAGUUGUUAGUUGUUAUGUUCCUUGUGUGGUGAAGGUGAACAAUGAAUUUGUAAUGAGAAGCAGUAUAUGCAGUGUACUCAACUUGUAAUCUUAACUUAGUAUAGAAGAAGCUGCAAUGUUCCUUGUGUGGUGACCAAUGAAUUUGUAAUAUGAAGGCAGUAUGGAUUUGGUUGGCUUGAGAAA